AGCACGGCUUCGCAGUGCGCACACGGGGAGCUUGUUCCAGAGAUGCUGCGAGGAAAGUCCCCAAUGCCUUGGCCGUGCGCAGAGAGUGCCUUGGUGCAGAGAGUGUUAGUGGGAGACCGCACGGCUCGUGCUAGGAGUGGGAGACCGCAGGGCUCGUGCCAAACCUCCAGUGGUGAUGCUUUUCGCUGAGCCUUGGUGGCUGGCUCGGGCCCUUCGCAGCAGCAACCUCCAGUGGUGAUGCUUCUCGCGGACAGACGCCUUCGUGGCGGGCUCGGGCCCUUCGCAGCGGCACAGACAUGCCGUGAGCGCUCAUGAUUGAGCACAGACAUGCCGUGAGCGCUGAGCGCCAACAGAACGGGGCUCACUCUC
rnacentral:RNase_MRP_RNA from 1 species